AGCAGCCGCGGUAAUUCCAGCUCCAAUAGCGUAUAUUAAAGUUGUUGCAGUUAAAAAGCUCGUAGUUGAAUUUCGGGAUCAAUAUAUCGGUCGUGCCUUGGUACGUACUGGUAUCAUUGGUUUCUCCUUUCUGACGAACCAUGAUGUCAUUAAUUUGGUGUUAUGGGAAGUUAGGACUGUUACUUUGAAAAAAUUAGAGUGUUUAAAGCAGGCUUUAGCUUGAAUACAUUAGCAUGGAAUAAUGAAAUAGGACGUUCGAACCUAUUUUGUUGGUUUCUAGGAUCAACGUAAUGAUUAAUAGGGAUAGUUGGGGGCAUUAGUAUUCAAUUGUCAGAGGUGAAAUUCUUGGAUUUAUUGAAGACUAACUACUGCGAAAGCAUUUGCCAAGGAUGUUUUCAUUAAUCUAAGAACGAAAGUUAGGGGAUCGAAGACGAUCAGAUACCGUCGUAGUCUUAACCAUAAACUAUGCCGACUAGGGAUCGGAUGAUGUAAUUUUUAAUGACUCAUUCGGCGCCUUACG
rnacentral:rRNA from 1 species